rnacentral:lncRNA from 1 species
CCUGGAGUAGCCGCAGGUUUAAAUUUGUUCACUCUUACUCGCUUUCUAACCUUGUGCAAGUAACCUAGCCUCUGGACCUCGGUGUCCCUGUUUGUAUAAAUAGAGAUAACCAUAUAUACGCUACACGUGGACAGGCUUCUCCACCAUGCACGUCACAGUUAGACCCUGGAUAAUGACUAAUGGCCUCAGCAGGUGAAAAAUGCCUUUAUUCAUGAACAGAGCUUCAUUACACUGCUCCUGCCUAUGCUGAAAAUUUUGCUGGCUUCAAGUAAAAGAUCCUGUGCUGAUAAAUCUCAAUGGUCCUUCCAGGUCUACUAUGUGGGAUGCCAUCUCAGCAUGGCUUGAUGAAUGGUGCUAGGUCUGUGCCUAGGAUCCAAACUGGCGAAACCCCAGC